rnacentral:rRNA from 1 species
GAUGAACGCUGGCGGCGUGCCUAAUACAUGCAAGUCGAGCGAACAGAUGAGGAGCUUGCUCCUCUGACGUUAGCGGCGGACGGGCGAGUAACACCUGGAUAACCUACCUAUAAGACUGGGAUAACUUCGGGAAACCGGAGCUAAUACCGGAUAAUAUAUUGAACCGCAUGGUUCAAUAGUGAAAGACGGUUUUGCUGUCACUUAUAGAUGGAUCCGCGCCGCAUUAGCUAGUUGGUAAGGUAACGGCUUACCAAGGCAACGAUGCGUAGCCGACCUGAGAGGGUGAUCGGCCACACUGGAACUGAGACACGGUCCAGACUCCUACGGGAGGCAGCAGUAGGGAAUCUUCCGCAAUGGGCGAAAGCCUGACGGAGCAACGCCGCGUGAGUGAUGAAGGUCUUCGGAUCGUAAAACUCUGUUAUUAGGGAAGAACAAAUGUGUAAGUAACUAUGCACGUCUUGACGGUACCUAAUCAGAAAGCCACGGCUAACUACGUG